CAAUAGCGUAUAUUAAUGUUGUUGCAGUUAAAAAGCUCGUAGUUGGAUUUCUGGUGGGAGCGGUUGGUCUGCCCCGCGAGGGGUAGUAACUGAGCCGUAUCCGGCCCUUUUCGGGUUGACCGUGGCUGGCAUUAAUUUGUCGGUGCGGGAGGCCCGUCGUUUACUGUGAACAAAUUAGAGUGUUCAAAGCAAAGUGUUUUUGAAUAUAUCAGCAUGGAAUAAUGAGAUAGGACUUUGGUGGUUCGUGCUCUCGGGUACGAUAUUUUGUUGGUUUGCACGCCAAAGUAAUGAUUAAUAGGAGCAGUUGGGGGUAUUCGUAUUCAAUUGUCAGAGGUGAAAUUCUUGGAUUUCUAGAAGACGAACUACUGCGAAAGCAUUUACCAAGGAUGUUUUCAUUA
rnacentral:rRNA from 1 species